UGGUGUUCAUGGGAGAUUCUUCAAAACAUUAUGGUGUUCUGACUUUUCUAAGCCUAUAAGAUGAUCUUCUGAUUAGGUGUACAUAGUAAUGUUCAAUUAACAUAUAGCCUACCAAUAUAUAUAGAGUCUGGAGGUAGAAUGUAUGUUCUUGGAUUAUUGUUGGAUUACUGAUGUGGUGGUAUAUUGGGGGUUAUAAUACUAGUAGAGAAACGAUCUUUCAUCGAUGGCCAAAAAGUAUUUAGUCCUGGUAUAAAAUUACAACUGUGACUAAAGGGACUUCAUGGUCUAUGUCUGCUUCACUAGAAGUUUUAAAAAGAUAAUUAAAAUCCUAAGAAGAAAGAUAAAUAAAAUCCUAAUAAGAAAAGAUAGCAUUGCCAUUAGAAUAUAGUAGUGUUAAGAACAAUUACAAGUAACAACAAGGCGACAUAUCUAAUGAUAUGGUACAAUAGUUGUGCAGCUAAAAGGCUAGCUAGCAGAAAUUAACCUCUACUUCAGAGACAAAACGCAUCUGUGGCACUUAUUGCGUUCUUUCUGUUUUUGAGAACCAACAAUGACUUCAUGUACUGAUAUAUAGCUUGCAAAGGAGUUGUUUGUUCUAGUCUUACAUUUUUUUUUAUAGCUGAGCACUCAUCCAUGUUUUGGAUUUCAUCAAGGAAUAUCAGCACCACCCAAGUGUCUUUCUUUGCGGAUGCUUUUGAAGGGCUGAUGCUUCCUUUCUUAUGAGAUUGUUCAAAACAUUAUGGUGUUCUGACUUUUCUAAGCCUAUAAGAUGAUCUUCUAAUUAGGUGUGCAUAAUAUGUUCAAAGUGUUCAAUCGACAUAUGCCUAGUGAUCUUUAUUGUUGGAUACUGAUGUGGUGCUAUACUGGGUGUUAUAAUGUCCUAAUAAGAAAGAUAACUUUUUUGUAAAAAAAAUAGAGGCAUAUGUAAAGCUAGCUAAAGUGUGAAACUUCUAUACAAACCAAAAGGUUGCUUUUAAAGUCUUCAAAUCCUAUGGAGUUUCCGUUUCACACAGCACUGCGUCACUAGUGACAGUUUUUUUUUUUUUGCUUCAGCUCUAUGGCUAGCUCGUAACUAAAGUUGUUUUGUUGAAUCAUUAGACAAUUUCUCUACAUGUGGAGUUCCUUAAAACAUACUCUCACAAAAUGCCACGUAGAGGACCAUAAAGCGAGUUAAAGCUGGGAGAAGUAGUUAUUUUUGAGCUUCAUCUCACACCAUACCAAUCCUUUUAUGAGACCAUGCAUGUUUAAGGAGCUAGCUUCACAUGUAAAACUGUUUUAAAAUAUCCAUUUUACAAAGCUUUUGCUGACCUUUUAAAAAAUCCAUUUAGCACAAAAUAGCUUCAAACAACUCGUGAAGCUAUAGGAGAGACUGUGCCAAAUGGGACAAUAUCUAUAUCUAUAUCUAUAUCUCUUAUAAAGAUAAACUCCACUAGCCAUUUAUUUUGCCAUACAAAGUGUCCACAUUAGCAUUGACUAGAACAUCUCACUAUCAUAUUCAAUUAUUUCACCAUACAA
rnacentral:lncRNA from 1 species